GGACUGGUAGCCUAAGAAGGGCAUUGGACUUUUAAUCCAGGGGUGGAGUAGAAAGGCUCCUCGGUCUU
rnacentral:tRNA from 1 species